AAUCACAUUGCGGUUCUCGUACGGUUACCGAAGUUAAGCAAUGUUGAGCCUGUUUAGUACCUAGAUGGGUGACCGCUUGGAAAUACCCGGUCCUGUAAG